UACGAGUAAUCCGAAAAUCGAUAAGAGUAGGAA
rnacentral:ncRNA from 1 species